UCCUUGAAAUACCACCCUUGUAUGUUUGAUGUUCUAACGUUGGCCCCUAAUCGGGGUUGCGGACAGUGCCUGGUGGGUAGUUUGACUGGGGCGGUCUCCUCCCAAAGAGUAACGGAGGAGCACGAAGGUGGGCUAAUCACGGUUGGACAUCGUGAGGUUAGUGCAAUGGCAUAAGCCCGCUUAACUGCGAGAAUGACGGUUCGAGCAGGUGCGAAAGCAGGUCAUAGUGAUCCGGUGGUUCUGAAUGGAAGGGCCAUCGCUCAACGGAUAAAAGGUACUCCGGGGAUAACAGGCUGAUACCGCCCAAGAGUUCAUAUCGACGGCGGUGUUUGGCACCUCGAUGUCGGCUCAUCACAUCCUGGGGCUGAAGUCGGUCCCAAGGGUAUGGCUGUUCGCCAUUUAAAGUGGUACGCGAGCUGGGUUUAGAACGUCGUGAGACAGUUCGGUCCCUAUCUGCCGUGGGCGUUGGAAGAUUGAAGGGGGCUGCUCCUAGUACGAGAGGACCGGAGUGGACGAACCUCUGGUGUUCGGGUUGUGUCGCCAGACGCAUUGCCCGGUAGCUAAGUUCGGAAUCGAUAACCGCUGAAAGCAUCUAAGCGGGAAGCGAGCCCUGAGAUGAGUCUU
rnacentral:rRNA from 1 species